AACUUUCGCUACGUUUGGAAGAUGUUUCAGUAGUAGCUCUCUAUAAAAGAGAAUUAUCUCAAAUCUAGGACCAUUUGAUGGUGGUUCGUUGAAAAGAACAGUGAAAAGAAAAUGAAGGUGAUCCUAAUAUGCUUCGCCUUAAUGGCAACCUGUACGUGUGAUUUAAAAUCUGCUAUUUCGAGAGAUACAGAUAUAGAGCACAUAAUCGCUGAUCAAAUUGAAAGUGUAAGAAAAGCUCGUCAAGUUUCUGGCGGAUUUUUCCCUGCCCAGCAAUACAAUCCAUACCAACAACAACCAUAUAACCAAUAUCAGCAGAAUCCAUAUCAACAGAAUCCCUAUCAACAGAACCCAUAUCAACAGAACCCAUAUCAACAGAAUCCAUAUCAGCAGAAUCCAUAUCAACAGAAUCCAUAUCAACAGAACCCGUAUCAACAGAAUCCUCUUGGUCAAGGUGACCACCAUCAUCAUGAUGAUCAUCACGACCACCAUCAUCAUCGUGAUGACCAUCAUGGACAUCGUCAUCAUGACGAUCAUCAUCAUGGCUGAUGAUUAUAAUCACCAUUUAAAAAAAAGUUGACUUACCAUCGUGACAAUAUUAGGAUUUCUCGCCAAAUACUAUUGCUAUCACAAUUUUGCAGUAUGAAAUUAAAUGACAAUUUGUUUUUCGAAACUGUGAGUCUUUUAUACUUCUUAUAAUAAACAUUCGUAAUGGUCGCGGUAUGGCUUAGUUGUACGCAAUAAUGACCGUCAUGGACGACUCAUACCGUUUAGCGAACUGGUGCAAAUGUUUAAAGUCAACAAAAAGCGUAGUAGAAAAACCCCGAGAGAGAUCAUAAACACUAAUUAAUAUGCGAUACACUUCUACAAUAUAAAAGUAAGAAAAUUCUUUCUAGUCAGAAAAGUUGUUAUUUAGUCGAGAAAAAACACAGCCAGUGUCAGUAGGGAAUACUUUGUAGCAAAAUAUCAAAGAAAUUCAAUAAACUACGAGAAUAAAAGACAUGAAAGCCGUUCUGGUGAUAUUCGUUUGCAUAGUUGCAAUUAGCAAUGCAAUCCCAUUAAGUGAUUCCAGCAAGGAGACGUUAACAUCCAACUUUGAUUCAAAUGGACCGCAACCAGUUGAUGACAUUAUUGCGAUUACGGAUGAUGAUGAAGUGACUCCAUCGAAACGAGUUGCUAGACAUUAUGGUGGUGUUAGCGUAGGAAUUGGAGUACCAGUUGUAGUCGGAUAUGGUGGAUAUGGCGGUUAUGGUGGAUAUGGUGGAUAUGGCGGCUAUGGUGGAUAUGGAGGCUAUGGUGGAUAUGGCGGCUAUCGUAGAUAUGGUGGCUACGGAGGAUAUGGUUACCCAUAUUAUGGCCAUCAUCACCACCACCAUCACGGUUGGUAAAAAUAAAUUGGCCCAAAUUUUCAUACUGUAAAAAAGUGCAAUUUUAAUAAAAACGACUGUUUUGCUACAAGCA